GGGGGAAUUUUGCGCAAUGGGCGAAAGCCUGACGCAGCAACGCCGCGUGUGUGACGAAGGCCCUAGGGUUGUAAAGCACUGUGGGAGGGGAAGAAAAAACGGGGGUUGUACCCUGUCUUGACGGUACCCUGUUAGAAAGCACCGGCUAACUCCGUGCCAGCAGCCGCGGUAAUACGGAGGGUGCAAGCGUUGUUCGGAAUUAUUGGGCGUAAAGGGCGUGUAGGUGGCUCGCCAAGUCUGGUGUGAAAGC
rnacentral:rRNA from 1 species